UACGUAGGGCGCAAGCGUUAUCCGGAAUUAUUGGGCGUAAAGAGCUCGUAGGCGGUUUGUCGCGUCUGCCGUGAAAGUCCGGGGCUCAACUCCGGAUCUGCGGUGGGUACGGGCAGACUAGAGUGAUGUAGGGGAGACUGGAAUUCCUGGUGUAGCGGUGAAAUGCGCAGAUAUCAGGAGGAACACCGAUGGCGAAGGCAGGUCUCUGGGCAUUAACUGACGCUGAGGAGCGAAAAGCGUGGGGAGCGAACAGG
rnacentral:rRNA from 1 species